rnacentral:rRNA from 1 species
AUUGAACGCUGGCGGCAGGCCUAACACAUGCAAGUCGAGCGGAUGAAGGUAGCUUGCUACCUGAUUCAGCGGCGGACGGGUGAGUAAUGCCUAGGAAUCUGCCUGGUAGUGGGGGACAACGUUUCGAAAGGAACGCUAAUACCGCAUACGUCCUACGGGAGAAAGUGGGGGAUCUUCGGACCUCACGCUAUCAGAUGAGCCUAGGUACGAUUAGCUAGUUGGUGAGGUAAAGGCUCACCAAGGCGACGAUCGUUAACUGGUCUGAGAGGAUGAUCAGUCACACUGGAACUGAGACACGGUCCAGACUCCUACGGGAGGCAGCAGUGGGGAAUAUUGGACAAUGGGCGAAAGCCUGAUCCAGCCAUGCCGCGUGUGUGAAGAAGGUCUUCGGAUUGUAAAGCACUUUAAGUUGGGAGGAAGGGCAGUAAGUUAAUACCUUGCUGUUUUGACGUUACCGACAGAAUAAGCACCGGCUAACUUCGUGCCAGCCGCCGCCGUAACAC